GACGAACGCUGGCGGCGUGCUUAACACAUGCAAGUCGAACGGAAAGGCCCUGCUUUUGUGGGGUGCUCGAGUGGCGAACGGGUGAGUAAAACGUGAGUAACCUGCACUUGACUUUGGGAUAACUUCAGGAAACUGGGGCUAAUACCGGAUAGGAGCUCCUGAUGCAUGGGGGGGGUUGGAAAGUUUCGGCGGUUGGGGAUGGACUCGCGGGUUAUCAGCUUGUUGGUGGGGUAGUGGAUUACCAGGGCUUAGACGGGUAGCCCGCCUGAGAGGGGGACCGGCGACCUGGGUACUGCGAGACGGAGCAGACGCCAAUCGGCCGCAGCAGUCGGGAACAUUGCAGAACGGGGGCACGCGUGAUGUAACGAUGUUCGGUGCGUGAUGCUGGGUUAUGAGGUGUAAACCGCUGUGUCCGUUGAUGUACCCUUCUUGACGGUAAUUGGUCAAGAAGCCACGGCUAACUACGUG
rnacentral:rRNA from 1 species